rnacentral:rRNA from 1 species
AAUCGGAAUUACUGGGCGUAAAGCGUGCGCAGGCGGUUUGUUAAGCGAGAUGUGAAAGCCCUGGGCUCAACCUAGGAAUAGCAUUUCGAACUGGCGAACUAGAGUCUUGUAGAGGGGGGUAGAAUUCCAGGUGUAGCGGUGAAAUGCGUAGAGAUCUGGAGGAAUACCGGUGGCGAAGGCGGCCCCCUGGACAAAGACUGACGCUCAUGCACGAAGGCGUGGGGAGCAAACAGGAUUAGAUACCCUGGUAGUCCACGCCGUAAACGAUGUCUACUCGGAGUUUGGUGUCUUGAACACUGGGCUCUCAAGCUAACGCAUUAAGUAGACCGCCUGGGGAGUACGGCCGCAAGGUUAAAACUCAAAUGAAUUGACGGGGGCCCGCACAAGCGGUGGAGCAUGUGGUUUAAUUCGAUGCAACGCGAAGAACCUUACCUACUCUUGACAUCCACAGAAGAGACCAGAGAUGGACUUGUGCCUUCGGGAACUGUGAGACAGGUGCUGCAUGGCUGUCGUCAGCUCGUGUUGUGAAAUGUUGGGUUAGGUCCCGCAACGAGCGCAACCCCUAUCCUUAUUUGCCAGCACGUAAUGGUGGGAACUCUAGGGAGACUGCCGGUGAUAAACCGGAGGAAGGUGGGGACGACGUCAAGUCUUCAUGGCCCUUACGAGUAGGGCUACACACGUGCUACAAUGGCGAGUACAGAGGGUUGCAAAGCCGCGAGGUGGAGCUAAUCUCACAAAGCUCGUCGUAGUCCGGAUUGGAGUCUGCAACUCGACUCCAUGAAGUCGGAAUCGCUAGUAAUCGUGGAUCAGAAUGCCACGGUGAAUACGUUCCCGGGCCUUGUACACACCGCCCACAAAU